UCGAAGACUUUUUAGGAUGCNGAAAAAGCC
rnacentral:piRNA from 1 species